rnacentral:rRNA from 1 species
UACGUAGGGUGCAGGCGUUAAUCGGAAUUACUGGGCGUAAAGCGUGCGCAGGCGGUGAUGUAAGACAGGUGUGAAAUCCCCGGGCUUAACCUGGGAACUGCAUUUGUGACUGCAUCGCUGGAGUGCGGCAGAGGGGGAUGGAAUUCCGCGUGUAGCAGUGAAAUGCGUAGAUAUGCGGAGGAACACCGAUGGCGAAGGCGGCUCACUGGCUCACUUCUGACGCUCAGGCGCGACAGCGUGGGGAUCAAACAGG